rnacentral:pre_miRNA from 1 species
AGUGAGAUUGCUGGCCCAUAUGGUAAAUGGUUGUUUGAACUUUAUAAUAUGAAACUGGCAAACUGUUUUCAAGAGUGGCCAUGCCAUUUUGCAUUCCUACCAGCAAU